rnacentral:tRNA from 1 species
AGAGGUGAAGCUCAGUGGUAGAGCACUUGCCUAAUAGGUGUGAGGCCUUGGGUUCAACCCUAGCAUAUCUC